rnacentral:misc_RNA from 1 species
CUCCUUGAUAAUAAUAAAAAGUUCGUUGCCUUUGGAUACGAAGCAGAAGAGAAAUAUUCGGAAAUUGCAGCAGACGAAGAACAUAAGAAAUAUUACUACUUCCGGAGGUUCAAAAUGCUUCUGCACAAAGUAUCGGUAUUGAAAAGAAAUUUCUUUUGAGCCAUGGGUAAAGAAAAACAUACAUGUGGACAAAAGAAAUGUAUGCUGGUAUUGGGUAAAGUAGUUAGAAUAAGUUAUUUGGUAGCAAUUCAUGAAGGUAAGUGGAUAGGUAAAAGCUGAAUGUUAUUAAACUGUUCUACCAUCUACGGUGGUUUGUGACCAAACUGUUCUACCAUCUACGGUGGUUUGUGACCAAACUGUUCUACCAUCUACGGUGGUUUGUGACCAAACUGUUCUACCAUCUACGGUGGUUUGUGACCAAACUGUUCUACCAUCUACGGUGAUUUGUGACCAAACUGUUCUACCAUCUACGGUGGUUUGUGACCAAACUGUUCUACCAUCUACGGUGAUUUGUGACCAAACUAUUGAUGUAAACGCUUGUUAUUAAAACUAUUUUGCUGUGGUUGGUGUAAAAGCGGACUGUUAUUGGACCGUUGUCUUUGGUCCAUUAAAGGCGUCCUGUUUUGUUCUACCAUAUAUGAUACAGACUAUACAUUGGUUUAUGUCCGAAAUAUCUAUGUUAACGCUUGUUAUUAAACUGUUUUGCUUUGGCUUUUGUAUAAUCGGAUUUUUCUAAGGAGGUGAAAUUGAUCGAACCGAAUUAAACGGCAUAUGUCAUACAAAUUUUGCUUUCGAAUUGCGACUCUGGCUGUGUUGCUAGAUGCUUCCAGUGCAUGCAUGUAUUAAGUAUUACGUAAGAAAAUAAUUCCGUAUAAUAUUAUCAAUGGUUUAGCCGAGCAGGAAUUGCAGUAACAUUGAUUCUUGAGUAUUGUAUCCGCAUAAUAUCUUACUGCUGCCAUCUAGUUAAACCUAGGGCUGUAUGUUUUGUGACUUUAUCGCAUGGCAUGAGAGCACUUGUUGUCGAAGUCAUUCAUCAAUAACUAAUAACUGUAUUGUAUUUCUGUUCUUUAGAUAUUUGAUUGCGCGACGUUAAACCUGACAAAAUAAGUAAAUAAAUUCGAUAUUUAAUAUUCUUUUAUUUAGAUGCUUGUAUAUGCAGCUUCUACAUCGUUGCGCUGUUGACAUAUGCUAUUAUACUGGAGCCAAGGUAGAAGCACUGUCGAUUCAGACAGUACACGUGGCAUGACAGCACUGUCGAACCAAGCAGUACACCGUUAAAUCUACCAAUACACAAGGAGUGGCGGAGUGGCAUGACCUCGGUAGAGUUGUUUCACCUUAAAUUGGUAAAGGGGAAGCUUUCCUAGAAGGCGUCAAUACACCAGGUCAUGCCAAAUACUGCCACGAUGAUAUACAGUGCAUUUUAUGCUUUUAUGGAUAAAGACAAUUAUUCCUGCCAAGAAGCCUCAAUAUUGCAGCCACGUAUAUGAAGGCUUCGUUUUGGAUUCUGUGGACUUUAGACAUUUGAUACUAAAGUUCAGUUUUGUAUUAAGUACAAACACUUUUCACGUGUACUACGCAGCAGUGGAUUUAUUUAUUUUGCUGCAAAAUUUCAUCAUCCUAAGAUCAAGAAAGUUAAAAAUAUUAUUUUAAAAACUUAAGUUUCAAUUAAUUGUCGUGAACUUUGUUCUCAUCAUUGCUAGUGUAUAGGUCCUAUAAACAAGUGCAGGACUAGGCAGUUUUAUUCUAUUUUAAACAGUACAUGUGGAGCUUAUAAAUAAAAAUAUGAUCCACAAAAUUGGCUUGCCUUUAAAUGGCUUUUGAUACAGCGGUUGUACCGCAAAAAUCCAAACUCACUUCCUGAGUUGGUUUUUAGAUCAGCAUUCAAAUUUUGGCAGUCGACUGGCCACCAUUGAGCAGUCUUAACCGUUAGAGGGGGCCUUGAUCAAAAUGGCGGCCGUUCAACAGAAUUCCUCGAAAUGACUGUAACUUAUAUAGAGCAGGGUUUAACAACUCUUCGGCUAAUUGAUCAGUGAUCCGUCGAAAGUUGAGAAAAAUGCAUUGUACUUGUAUGUCAGUUUCUUUUGUUGAGUGUGCAGGUUAGUGCAGUCAUUUGCUUGGAUGAUUAAUAAUUGCGUGGCACAAGUUGCCCGAUCCAAACCUAGCAACCGAGUCCGUUAUAUAAAUAAUACAAUGAGGGAUGAAAAAAUGUAUUAAUGCAUCAAAUACAAAUGUUAAUUUACAGACACAUUUUCAAUGUUUUGAUUAUGUAUUUUCUUGCACUUGCGUUGGAUUCAUAUCUUUGUUUCCUUUGAAGACAUCAUCAUUAUGUCGAGAAUUCGUUGAGCAUCUAGUCUCGGAUUUUCGUUAGCUGAAGUUGCCUAGCACAAUACAUUCUCCUUGCAGUGUCUAUAGUGCAUCUGUGCUUAUCAUAAUAGCUUCGGCAUCAUAUCUUUUUCUAUUUUGUUUCUAUGCAUUUUAGCUAGAAAUCUAUAAUUUC